rnacentral:rRNA from 1 species
GAUGAACGCUAGCGGGAGGCCUAACACAUGCAAGCCGAGCGGUAGAGAUUCUUCGGAAUCUUGAGAGCGGCGUACGGGUGCGGAACACGUGUGCAACCUGCCUUUAUCAGGGGGAUAGCCUUUCGAAAGGAAGAUUAAUACCCCAUAAUAUAUUUGAUGGCAUCAUUAGAUAUUGAAAGCUUUGGCGGAUAGAGAUGGGCACGCGCAAGAUUAGAUAGUUGGUGAGGUAACGGCUCACCAAGUCGAUGAUCUUUAGGGGGCCUGAGAGGGUGAUCCCCCACACUGGUACUGAGACACGGACCAGACACCUACGGGAGGCAGCAGUGAGGAAUAUUGGACAAUGGGUUAGCGCCUGAUCCAGCCAUCCCGCGUGAAGGACGACGGCCCUAUGGGUUGUAAACUUCUUUUGUACAGGGAUAAACCUACUCUCGUGAGAGUAGCUGAAGGUACUGUACGAAUAAGCACCGGCUAACUCCGUG